UCCUAGCAUUUCCAGCACGCGGUGACUGCGGGACACAAAUUUACACCAAAUGGGCUACAUGUGUGAAAACAUCAUGUCCUCCCGAUUCCUUGCCUCUUCAGGUCAAUGGUAAAACUUGUCCACCUGACCACGUUUGCUGCCUUAUGCGACCCAAAAUAAAUUUCAAGACGGUUGAAUCACAUUGUGACCAUUAAUCCGAUGAAGGAAAAGGCAAAUUCUUCGUUCUUAAUGAGACAUUUGUUUCAGUAAUUACAGCAUAAUGCGUGUAACUUCGAUCUCCUGAUUUCUCUAAAUAAAAUGGGAAUAAAAUCGCCUUUGACAGGAA